CGGCGGACGGGUGAGUAACACGUGGAUAACCUACCUAUAAGACUGGGAUAACUUCGGGAAACCGGAGCUAAUACCGGAUAAUAUAUUGAACCGCAUGGUUCAAUAGUGAAAGACGGUUUUGCUGUCACUUAUAGAUGGAUCCGCGCCGCAUUAGCUAGUUGGUAAGGUAACGGCUUACCAAGGCAACGAUGCGUAGCCGACCUGAGAGGGUGAUCGGCCACACUGGAACUGAGACACGGUCCAGACUCCUACGGGAGGCAGCAGAA
rnacentral:rRNA from 1 species